UACAGAGGUGGCAAGCGUUGUUCGGAAUUACUGGGCGUAAAGGGCGAGUAGGCGGCCUUCUAAGUCAGACGUGAAAUCCCCCGGCUUAACCUGGGAACUGCGUCUGACUACUGGGAGGCUAGAGUAUGGGAGAGGGAUGUGGAAUUCCAGGUGUAGCGGUGAAAUGCGUAGAUAUCUGGAGGAACACCCGUGGCUAAGGCGGCUCUCUAGUACGGUACUGACGCUGAGGCGCGAAAGCGUGGGGAGCAACAGG
rnacentral:rRNA from 1 species